rnacentral:rRNA from 1 species
AUACGCUGCGAUAAGCUACGGGGAGGUGCGAAUACCCUUUGAUCCGUAGAUUUCCGAAUGGGGAAACCCACCUAAGGUACUUGGAAAAUCAGAGCAGCAGGGUGACUUGCUGCUGUGGUUUCCAAGUAUCGAUAAUAGGUAACUUACCCUGAAUACAUAGGGGUAAAGUGGCGAACGCGGGGAACUGAAACAUCUAAGUACCCGUAGGAAAGGACAUCAACCGAGACUCCGGAAGUAGUGGCGAGCGAACCCGGACCAGGCCAGUGGCGAUUGAGAGACAAGCGGAACCUUCUGGAAAGUAGGGCCAUAGUGGGUGACAGCCCCGUACGCGUAAUGCAAUCAAUCGUCCUCGAGUAAGGCGGGACACGUGAAAUCCUGUCUGAAAUUGGGGGGACCACCCUCCAAGCCUAAGUACUCGUGCAUGACCGAUAGC